AGUGAUGUUAGAGAAGAGCUGGAUGCAGCGCGUGCCUCGGGGCGGCCCAGGGCAGCUCUGCUGGUGGGAAUCACCUGAGCUGCUGUCACAAAUGGGGGGCAGCGGGGGACAGUGUGAGAAAUGGGUCAGAAUGAAAACCCCAGAAGACACAGAAGUGUGGUGUCUGUUGAUGUGCUGAUUAUUUCAAGUAGAAUACAAAAUCCAGUUGCUGAUCCUCCAGAGCCCCUCAUUCAUUCCGCAUGCAGGGCACUCCUGUCUGAGCCACGCUGGAGCCUGUAGGUCCGUGCACACAGAACUGGGCUGGUGACCCUGCUUGUUGUUGGCAGCUGCUGGGAGACACCAUGGGAGUUGAACCAUUGGAGUUCAAAUGAACCUGAAAUUGAAAACCAGUUUUUGAAAUAAUAUUGAAUUCAACUCUUGAUGCUGACUGCUAAGGAGAAAGUGCUCUUGGCGUUGCAUUGCUGAAAUGUGACAAAUGCACGCUGGGGUAGGAAAACAACAAAACAGGGCUGAGUUGAUGUAAAAAGAGGUAAAUCAACAUAAAUGGGAAACGCUUCAAUGCUAGCAUUUAUUCAAAAGGUUUUCGCCAGGACGUUGAGCCUCACACAUUAAUAAGAGGCUGUAACAAGGAAAUCAAGAUACACAAUGUGUUUUUCAUAAAUGAAAUCGUUGGCUUCUUUAACCGAAACUUUAAUAGGUGCAAUAUAUAAUUGCAGUGCCUUAUAGGAAUUUCUUACCAAGAGCGUUUUUUGAGCAGCCGCUAAAAAGCAGCAAUCAGUAACAGAAAUGAGGGCAUUAGCACUCAGACCAGAGUAAAAGCAUCAUUAAAGUGUAAGUUCUAAGGUACACUACUUUAAAUUUCCCUCAUUACGUCUGCAAUUAGGGAAUAAACAAUAAAGCAAUGAUUAUUUUUUCUGUG
ensembl:lncRNA